AAUUGACAACAGCUGAGGCGGCAGGUGAGUCUCAGGAAGUGAGACUCUGGGUAGAUGGUCUCUGGAGGUUCUGCAGGGAAACUAAACAACGGGAUUCAAAGCCAGGGCUGGUCACCUGGAGACGAGGCGUCGGUGCGGCGUGACACUGAGAGACAGCUGUUCGCGUACGGUGGCUGUGGACCUGCGAGUUUUCUAAUGUCAUCGAGUGGCCGUAAACAGGCACCUCCUCGAGAAGCCACUCUCCAGAACUUCCA